rnacentral:rRNA from 1 species
CACGGGGGGAGCAAGCGUUGUUCGGAAUCACUGGGCGUAAAGGGCGUGUAGGCGGUCAGGUAAGUGAGAUGUGAAAUGCCCGGGCUCACCUCGGGAUCGGCAUCUCAUACUGCUUGGCUUGAGUACGGGAGAGGGUGUGGGAAUUCCUGGUGUAGCGGUGAAAUGCGUAGAUAUCAGGAGGAACACCGGUGGCGAAGGCGCACACCUGGCCCGAUACUGACGCUGAGGCGCGAAAGCUAGGGGAGCAAACGGG